AGCGAACGCUGGCGGCAGGCUUAACACAUGCAAGUCGAACGCAUCACUUCGGUGGUGAGUGGCAGACGGGUGAGUAACACGUGGGAACGUACCCUUCGAUCUGGGAUAACUUCGGGAAACUGGAGCUAAUACCGGAUACGCCCUUUUGGGGAAAGGUUUACUGUCGAAGGAUCGGCCCGCGUCUGAUUAGCUAGUUGGUGGGGUAACGGCCUACCAAGGCGACGAUCAGUAGCUGGUCUGAGAGGAUGAUCAGCCACACUGGGACUGAGACACGGCCCAGACUCCUACGGGAAGCAGCAGUGGGGAAUAUUGGACAAUGGGCGCAAGCCUGAUCCAGCCAUGCCGCGUGAGUGAUGAAGGCCUUAGGGUUGUAAAGCUCUUUUGUCCGGGACGAUAAUGACGGUACCGGAAGAAUAAGCCCCGGCUAACUUCGUG
rnacentral:rRNA from 1 species